UUGAGACCAUAUAUCAGGCACUGAAAAAAGGUUGGAAUGAAUUACGGCACUGUGGAGUUAACCUCAGAGAAGUUUCCAUCAGCCUCAGGUUUCACUUAAAAAUGCCUUAAACGCACGAAUUGAUUUCACUACACAUUACCUGAAGUCAUUUUGUUUUUUGGUAUUGCGACUUUUCCUCUUGUCUUCUUGGGUCUCCAGCCUAAACGAGAACUAUUUCCAUUUCUUUCAUCUUGGUCUGAAAAGGCAUCUAUUUGGAAGCCAAUGGAAAAGGUUGCAGAUGAGCCAGCAGGGAGUUUGAACAAAGUGAUUCAUGGUUUGCAAAGUCACAGCAAACUACGGAGAGCUUGUGAGGUGCUCCAGAAACUGACGGCCUUUAUGCCAGAAUUUUCUAAGUCAGCUCAAGUAAGCAAGAGGGUGAUCGGGAGGAAACGAGAUAUGAGAAAGGGGGAAGUGAAACAGACAAAAUGUGUAUAAAGUAGAAAAUACGUAAUCUAGAGAUUGUGCCCUGUGCAGAAUUUAGCCUUGUGAACCAUUUUGUAGAGACUCAAUUUAACAUUCAGUCAGGGUAUAUUUACCUUUAAGUCUGAAGAUUGCGGAUAAAUUGAUCAGUAAUGACCUUUUCAGAUAUGCUGUGUUUAUUUUCUUUUGAUCAUUUAUCAAGUUACUGUCUUUCUGAUACAUUUGUUAGACAUAAUGGGAGACAGAAAUAGAUCCACUCCUUGCCCGAGAUAGAGCAGUUCAGCUUCGAAACGGACAUGGGCCAUCAGUGCCCCCGCAAUGUUUACAUUUGUUCCCUCCACAUUUGCCAAGUUACUCCCAGUAAUUAUUCAUGCUUGUCUCUACUCCCUACACGUAAAUAAAUUAAGGGAAUGAGAUUCAUGAGAAUUUUCAUUUUUUUUCUUUUCCAUGUCCUAUAUUUUCAGAUAUCUGUGAUAAGCAUAUAUAUACAAUCUGUGCUGGUUUAUUUGGGCUGGUUUAUUUUUAAUUACGGCAAUAAUACAUGCUUGUUAUUUAAAAAUCUGAAUUAAAGCAUAUAAAGUUAUAAAGCAA
rnacentral:lncRNA from 1 species